UACGUAGGGUGCAGCGUUGUCCGGAAUUAUUGGGCGUAAAGAGCUCGUAGGCGGUCUGUCGCGUCUGCUGUGAAAACUCAGGGCUUAACCCUGAGCUUGCAGUGGGUACGGGCAGACUAGAGUGCGGUAGGGGAGACUGGAAUUCCUGAUGUAGCGGUGAAAUGCGCAGAUAUCAGGAGGAACACCGGUGGCGAAGGCGGGUCUCUGGGCCGAUAUUGACGCUGAGGAGCGAAAGCCGUGGGGGAGCGAACAGG
rnacentral:rRNA from 1 species